UAAAACGUAGGACGCAAGCGUUAUCCGGAGUUACUGGGCGUAAAGGGCGUGUAGGCGGCUUGGCAAGUGGCUCGUGAAAGACUUCGGCUCAACCGGGGGUGGACGGGUCAGACUGCCAGGCUGGAGGAUGUCAGAAGGACACGGAAUUCCGGGUGUAGUGGUGAAAUGCGUAGAGAUCCGGAGGAACACCAGUGGCGCAGGCGGUGUCCUGGGGCGUACCUGACGCUGAGACGCGAAAGCAUGGGGAGCGAACGGGAUUAGAAACCCCGGUAGUCCAUGCCGUAAACGAUGCCGACUAGGGGUUCGGUGAAAACUGGGUCCCGCAGCCAACGCGCUAAGUCGGCCGCCUGGGGAGUACGGUCGCAAGGCUA
rnacentral:rRNA from 1 species